rnacentral:rRNA from 1 species
UUCCGGUUGAUCCUGCCGGACCUGACUGCUAUCGGAUUGGUACUAAGCCAUGUGAGUCGUUGUAGCAAUACAAGGCAUACGGCUCAGUAACACGUAGUCAAUCUAACCUAUGGACGGGGAUAACCUCGGGAAACUGAGGAUAAACCCCGAUAGAUCAUAAUGCCUGGAACGGUUUAUGGUUCAAAUGAUUCGUCGCCGUAGGGUGGGACUGCGGCCUAUCAGCUUGUUGGUGAGGUAAUGGCCCACCAAGGCUAUUACAGGUACGGGCUCUGAGAGGAGUAGCCCGGAGAUGGGUACUGAGACACGGACCCAGGCCCUAUGGGGCGCAGCAGGCGAGAAACCUUUGCAAUGUGCGCAAGCACGACAAGGUUAAUCCGAGUGUUUCCUGUUAAAGGAAUCUUUUGUUAGUCGUAAAAUCACUAUUGAAUAAGGGGUGGGCAAGUUCUGGUGUCAGCCGCCGCGGUAAAACCAGCACCUCAAGUGGUCAGGAUGAUUAUUGGGCCUAAAGCAUCCGUAGCCUGUUCUGAAAGUUUCCGGUUAAAUCCAUUAACUCAACUAAUGGGCUGCCGAAAAUACUGCAGAACUAGGGAGUGGGAGAGGUAGACGGUACUCGGUAGGAAGGGGUAAAAUCCUUUGAUCUAUUGAUGACCACCUGUGGCGAAAGGCGGUCUACCAGAACACGUUCGACGGUGAGGGAUGAAAGCUGGGGGAGCAAACCGGAUUAGAUACCCGGGUAGUCCCAGCUGUAAACGAUGCA